GAUGAACGCUGGCGGCGUGCCUAAUACAUGCAAGUCGAGCGAACAGAUGAGGAGCUUGCUCCUCUGACGUUAGCGGCGGACGGGUGAGUAACACGUGGAUAACCUACCUAUAAGACUGGGAUAACUUCGGGAAACCGGAGCUAAUACCGGAUAAUAUAUUGAACCGCAUGGUUCAAUAGUGAAAGACGGUUUUGCUGUCACUUAUAGAUGGAUCCGCGCCGCAUUAGCUAGUUGGUAAGGUAACGGCUUACCAAGGCAACGAUGCGUAGCCGACCUGAGAGGGUGAUCGGCCACACUGGAACUGAGACACGGUCCAGACUCCUACGGGAGGCAGCAGUAGGGAAUCUUCCGCAAUGGGCGAAAGCCUGACGGAGCAACGCCGCGUGAGUGAGGAAGGUCUUCGGAUCGUAAAACUCUGUUAUUAGGGAAGAACAAAUGUGUAAGUAACUAUGCACGUCUUGACGGUACCUAAUCAGAAAGCCACGGCUAACUACGGG
rnacentral:rRNA from 1 species